GUCCCUUCGGGACAUCCAAUAAAAUUGGAACUAUACAGAGAAGAAUAGCAUGAACCCUGUGCAAGGAUGACACGCACAAAUCGAGAAGGGAUAAAACUGAUG